rnacentral:rRNA from 1 species
AUUGAACGCUGGCGGCAGGCCUAACACAUGCAAGUCGAGCGGAUGAAGGGAGCUUGCUCCUGGAUUCAGCGGCGGACGGGUGAGUAAUGCCUAGGAAUCUGCCUGGUAGUGGGGUAUAACGUCCGGAAACGGGCGCUAAUACCGCAUACGUCCUGAGGGAGAAAGGGGGGGAUCUUCGGACCUCACGCUAUCAGAUGAGCCUAGGUCGGAUUAGCUAGUUGGUGGGAUAAAGGCCUACCAAGGCGACGAUCCGUAACUGGUCUGAGAGGAUGAUCAGUCACACUGGAACUGAGACACGGUCCAGACUCCUACGGGAGGCAGCAGUGGGGAAUAUUGGACAAUGGGCGAAAGCCUGAUCCAGCCAUGCCGCGUGUGUGAAGAAGGUCUUCGGAUUGUAAAGCACUUUAAGUUGGGAGGAAGGGCAGUAAGUUAAUACCUUGCUGUUUUGACGUUACCAACAGAAUAAGCACCGGCUAACUUCGUG